UAAACGCUAGAUGGCGUUACACCGCUUGC
rnacentral:sRNA from 1 species